CUCCGGGCCCCACCGCGCGUGCGCGCCGCCUGCUGGCCGGGCCGGGGGCCGGCACCUGGGGAGCCCUCCGGGGAGGGUGGAGCCGCCCCCCUCCCUGUCAGGUAGCCCCAGCUCCCCCCUCAGGUUGCACUUUAUAGAAACCAACUUAGGGUCACGCUCGGUCCCUUGGAGCCCUUGAGGGACUCAGCCUGCGGAGCACCGCACACACUGAGCCAGAGCGGCCGCUCAGGACGGGUCUUCUCUAGAGAGACCUUUGAGAUUUUAACAGAUUUAAAAAUGACACCCAGAUGGAAUCUUGAAAUCUUAACAAAGAUGACCCUAAUGACGGUACCCAGUUCCAUCCCCUUGCAAAUGUUGUCAGUGUCAUCGCUGCCAUCAUUACCCCCAACCAGUGCUUUCAGGAUGAAAUCCCUUGUUAGCACAACAGCCCUCCUCUGCACACCCCCUCAGCACUUCCUGACCUCCCAGCCAGGAUGGCGAAGACCCUGAAAGAGUCAAGCGGGUUGUGUCUGGGCUUCCCCACCCCACUGGAAGCCCCAGACAUCUCUGCCACUCAGAGCUCCUGAAUCAGGCGCUGACACCCCCAGACCCUGACCCCUCUUGCGGCUAUCCCCCAGCAGGCAUCCAUUCUGUGUGGAAGGGUCAGAAGAGGUUCUCGGGCUUCCAGCCAAUGUCCACUCAUCAAGAGUUACUUCAGAAUUCUAGGAAUGAUCUCCUCCACUCUGCUCUUCCCACUUCCACCCCCUCUGCUUUAUUUCUUCUUCAGAUCCUAGGGUCUGACGUCUCCUUCUUAGCUACCACCUCCCAUCCUUUCAAGUUAAAUCUCUGUGCCAGCUGAUCGCAGGACAGGGUCCAUCUCUGAUUCUUGCCUACACUUCUGUGGUACAACUUCACUGCUCCUCAUGCUCACCAGGCAGUCUGCUCAUUUUUCCCAGGUGGACCAACCAAUUCAACUAUAUUGACUAAUCCUUAUUGUUGUGGACUAAAUGUUUGUCUGCCCCCCACCCCCACCACCAAAUUUGUAUGUUGAAGCCCUACCCCCUAGUGUGAUGGUAGGGCCUCUGGAAAGUCAUUAGGUUUAGAUGAGAGCAUGAGGACAGAAAUCCCAUAAUAGGAUAAGUGUCUUUUUAAGAAAAGGAAGAGACCAGAGCUCCCUUUCUCUCUCUCUCUCUCUCUCUCUCUCUCUCUCUCUCUCUCUCUCUCUCUCUCUCUCUCCACUCACACACAAAGAGGAGGUCAUGUGAGCACACCAUGAAGUGGCAACAGUUUGCAAGCUGGAAAGAAGAAUCUUCCUUAAAACCUGAACCUGCCAGCAGCUUUAUCUUGUGUUUUGUUAUAACAGCCCAAGCUGACUAAGAAACUUUCUUUGCCAAGAACAACACGAGGUACCUUUACAUCCAAAGCUCUCUUUAGGUCCUAACUUGCCCAGAUCAGGUGAUUCUCAUUACCCCCUAACUUAUAAAUCAGGGCACCAAGGCCCAGAGAAAGUGAAGAUCAUUCUAAAGACGCACAGAAGAUUGAGGUGGAGUUUGAAUAGAAAAUUAAGGUUUGGGACACCUGGGUGGCUUGGUCAGCUAGACAUCUGCCUUCAGCUCAGGUCAUGAUCCAGGGGUCUUGGGAUCCAGCCCCACAUCGGGCUCCCUGCUCAGCAGGGAGGCUUUUUCUCCCUCUCAUCCGUGCUCAUGCUCACUCUUGAGCACUCUCUCUCUCUCUCAAAUAAAUAAUCUUUUUUAAAAAGUGAAGGCUUCAGAUUUUGUAGGGAGAACCUAAAGUAUGCUGGUUGAUUUAUUAAACUCAAAGAAUGUUAGAGGUAGAGAAGGCUUCUAUUAUUUGCCAGCUGAACCCCAUAGUAUAUGCAUAAAGAAAUUGAGGCCCAGAAAGGAACAUGAUUCUUGGCAGUUCCUGGCAAAGCCCAGAGGGUGUGUGUGUGUGUGUGUGUGUGUGUGUGUGAGAGAGAGAGAGAGAGAGAGAGAGAGAGA